UCUUUUAUAGGUUAAGGUGUAGAUUGUUAGUUUGUGGUGCUAGAGGUUUCACUAGGGUGAGUAAAAGAA
rnacentral:tRNA from 2 species